rnacentral:misc_RNA from 1 species
GAUGAAGAACGCAGCGAAAUGCGAUAAGUAAUGUGAAUUGCAGAAUUCAGUGAAUCAUCGAAUCUUUGAACGCAUCUUGCGCUCCUUGGUAUUCUGAGGAGCAUGCCUGUUUGAGUGUCAUUAAAUUCUCAACUACACUGACUUUGAAUUGGUGUGGCUUGGAUUUGGGGGGAAAAUUGUUGUGGGAUUUUUGUAUAGUCUGCUCCCCUGAAAUUGAUUAGCGGUACCUUUGUGGAACUGUCUACAGGUGUGAUAAUUAUCUACAUCUUAGACAUCUGCUGGAAUGCUGCUUUCUAAACCUUACUUGUAUUGACAAUCUUGACCUCAAAUCAGGUAGGACUACCCGCUGAACUUAAGCAUAUCAAUAAGCGGAGGA